rnacentral:lncRNA from 1 species
AGAGGAAGUGCCUUUGAGAUAUCUCAACACAUGAAAAGCAGCAUUCAUAUGAGGUACUCUAGGGCAUUUGAGAAAUUGACUUAGAUGCUGUACAGCAAAAGCAUAUAUCAGGUCUGGUAUGUGUCAAAAAUAAAAGCUUACCCACCAAACUCCUAAGUUGAUCAGGAGAGGGUAAUGGGUCACCACAAUCAGCAAGAAGUUUGACAUUUGUAUCUAAAGG